CAGCCGCCACGGGAACACGAGGGGGGCAAGCGUUGUUCGGAAUUAUUGGGCGUAAAGGGCGCGUAGGCGGUUUGACAAGUCUGAUGUGAAAUCUAUGGGCUCAACCCAUAGCCUGCAUUAGAAACUGUCGGGCUUGAGUAUGGGAGAGGUGAGUGGAAUUUCCGGUGUAGCGGUGAAAUGCGUAGAUAUCGGAAGGAACACCUGUGGCGAAAGCGGCUCACUGGACCAUAACUGACGCUGAGGCGCGAAAGCUAGGGGAGCAAACAGGAUUAGAUACCCCUGUAGUCCCUGUCUCUUAUAC
rnacentral:rRNA from 1 species